UGCGCCAUUUGAGUCACAGUGCGCAGGAGCGGAAAUCACGUGGCCGGCACGUGAGGUUGGGUAUCGUUGCUGGUGUGUGACCCGGCUAUUCGGCCUGUUCGAAGGACGUGGGAGCUUCGUUGAUGUCUGUAGAUUGGCUAUUAACGAGUUCACUGAAUAGUCGUUAAUCGGUUAAAUUCCUCCUCUGGCCUCAGUUGGAGACGACUGAGCUUCGUCUCUGCUCGGAGCUGAAUCAGAAAUCAUCGGAAUAGCGGAAGAAGCAGGAAGGAGAGAUGUCAUACUAUUCCCGCAGUUCGUCCCGGGCCACCGACUGUAAGGUGUACGUGGGUGAUUUGGGCAAUGGUGCUGCGAAGGGGGAGCUGGAGCGAGCGUUCAGUUAUUACGGCCCUCUGAGAAGCGUCUGGGUGGCCAGGAACCCACCUGGGUUUGCCUUUGUGGAGUUUGAGGAUCCCAGAGACGCAGAAGAUGCUGUGAAGGGCAUGGAUGGAAAGGUUCUUUGUGGUUCCCGUGUCCGCGUGGAGAUGUCUACAGGCCUCUCCAGGAAGGGCCGUGGGCGCCCCAGCCGACGCCAGUUUGACCCUAAUGAUCGGUGCUACCAGUGUGGGGACCGGGGCCACUAUGCCUAUGACUGCUACCGCUUUAGCAAGAGAGGGCGUCGCAGCAGCAGGUCUCGGUCUCGUUCCCGAUCUCGUUCCAGGUCCAGGUCUCGCGGACGCCGCUAUCGCUCUCGCUCACGCAGCCGUAGCCACAGCCGGAGCCGUCGCCGAUCUCCAUCCUAUUCCAGGCGCAGGAGCAGGUCUGGCUCCCAAGCCCGUUCCAAGUCCAGGAGCCCAGUGAGAAGUCGCUCCAGGUCUCGGUCUCGGUCCGCCUCUGCACCCAGAGGACGCUCUGUCUCCCGAUCACGUUCACGUUCUCCUUCGGCCAACCACAGGAGGAACAGCGUGUGGUGGGAGCUGAGCACUGCACUGACACCGCAGCUGAUCCCAGGCCCAGGGUCUGCCAGCUGGCGGUGUGUACGUCCUGCGGGAGGGUGACUAAGCGCUGACCUGAGAUCAGCCUUCGCCUGCAUCUGGUGUUAGACAGCGAGAAAGAGGUCGACCUACCGACCGAACCCUCCCCACAGUGAAUGGGCGACCGUCUGUUCGACCGACGCACACGCUCAGACGAGAUCAGCCCAUGCACACAUACAGUUGUUCUACUAGAGUCACCCAGCCAGCCAGCCAGCCAGCCAGCCUUCAGAUGUACCAGAGGGCUGACCCACACAGAUCAGAGUUCGACCACUACCUUUUUAAAUUACCUACCUACCAGACCCCCCUACCUACCAGAGUUCUGCGGCCUCUGUCUUAGCUUCUGAAAGUGAGAGAAAGAGAGCUGACGAGAGAUCAGUCUUCAAGAGCCUCCCAGCGCAGUGUCUCUGCAAGUUGUAGUCAUCCGUCCUUCAGUCCUUUCAUCCUUCGCUCUCUGUACUUGUUGUUUCUGCCACUGUCUCCAAAGUCGUUCCCGUUCAGCAAGUCCAAACCGAAGCCCUACGCCAGCAGAUGACUGAGUGAAGAAGACUAUUAGUCCCCCCCCCCAUAAUGCUCUCAUUAACAGACAGGCCCUCAACCCCUGCAUCCUGCCUGCUUUUACAGCCCGUCAGGCAGCUGCUUUUCUUUUGUGCUCGUCUGUCUCGUUCAAGUCUUUUAAGUUUCAGUUUCUCUGCUGGAUUGUGCAGCCUCAGACAUAGUUAGUAUAGCAGACAUAAAUCAGUUUGAUAGAUUGUUUUAAAAAAAAAAACAAAAAACAAGGUUGGUUAUCUAUCUUCUCCAAAGUGGCGUCAGGGUAAGAAGUGUAAGAAUCAGCACCUGUGGAGGUAAUACUGAAUGUUGCAGUUGACUUUUAGCAGUGAUUUGGGCAGCUCAUACAGGAAGUCGCAGUAGAAGUUAGCCCAGUUGAUGCAGUUCCUGGGGGGGGCGGACAUUGCAUUGUAAAACUGCUUUUAUUUCCUAAGAUCAAAUCUCUGAACAUCAAUGUUUUUCCCUUUUGAGAAUCCACAAUGUUUGUUUUUUGUAUUGCUCUCCAGUUUGAAUUUUGAGUUAAAAUGCUGUUUCGUGUUUCCGCUCGUGAAGGAGACGGUGUCCGGCCUGCAUGCCUCUAAACACGUGGUCACAUUCCUGUCGUUUGUUGUUCUGUGCAGCACUGCCCCUUUUUAUGAACCCCAUCAGCCUCACUGUGUGCUGAAUAGAUUUUGUUUCCCCUCAUGUGUUUAUUUCCGCUUUAGCAGUUUUUGUUCUGUUCCUGGCUUGUAUGGUAAGACAGUAGCAGUUUUAUUUUUGAAUAAACCUCUUCGACACAC